UACGUAGGCAGCGAGCGUUGUUCGGAAUUACUGGGCGUAAAGAGUGUGUAGGCGGUGUUCCCAGUCUGUUGUGAAAUCUCCCGGCUUAACUGGGAGGGUGCAGCGGAAACUAGAAUGCUAGAGGGUGGGAGAGGUAAGCGGAAUUCCUGGUGUAGCGGUGAAAUGCGUAGAUAUCUGGAGGAACACCGGUGGCGAAGGCGGCAUCCUGGACCGGCAUUGACGCUGAGGCGCGAAAGCUAGGGGAGCAAACGGG
rnacentral:rRNA from 1 species